rnacentral:misc_RNA from 1 species
AAUCAUAAAAAAUAAACAUGUGGGUGUAAAAAUGGAAUGACUCAUUAGAUAAACAUGCUCUGAUUUUUCAACAAGCUUUGUCCGCAAGUUGGUUGGCGCAGAUGGAGGCGAAGAAGGUAAAAGGGAAAAAGGACAAGAAGAAGAGCUCGGAGGGAAAGAGAAAAUCGAGCGGGAACAAGAAGAAGAAACCAUCGUCUAGUAGCAGGUCGAGGAGGAGCAAAUCAAGCCAGUCGGUUAAGAAUCCAGUCGAACUCGAGCUGCCACUUUCCCUCGAUAAAAUAAGGCGCGGGAAGUGGAAGAGAGUCAAUGAGCAGUGUUCUCCUGAUGUUGGCUGCGAUUGUAUCGCUACAAUAUCAAGGGACAAAAAAGAAAAAAAUAAAUAAUUGUUUUUUUCUUCUGUGUUUUGUUUAGUUGAUUUUUAAUUAAAGGGACCCCCUAUAUCGAACCUGGAAAAAAAGAGGAGGAAAUGCACCUGCCACGAACGUGAUGUCGCAAAUCCUGCCUUGUGCCAAAAACUCUACAUAGGAAAAGAGAAAACUAAGGAAGAGCUAGAAGCCGAAGAAGCAAAGAACAAAGAAGCAGAAGAAAAUAAAAAUAAGACGACUCCACAGACGAGUACUGCUUUGGAUGAAAAAUCUCAAAUAAAGAGCAAAUAAAAAAAGAUAUAUAUUUA